rnacentral:rRNA from 1 species
GACGAACGCUGGCGGCGUGCCUAAUACAUGCAAGUCGUGCGGACCUUUUAAAAGCUUGCUUUUAAAAGGUUAGCGGCGGACGGGUGAGUAACACGUGGGCAACCUGCCUGUAAGACUGGGAUAACGCCGGGAAACCGGGGCUAAUACCGGAUCGUUUUUUCCUCCGCAUGGAGGAAAAAGGAAAGGCGGCUUCGGCUGCCACUUACAGAUGGGCCCGCGGCGCAUUAGCUAGUUGGCGGGGUAACGGCCCACCAAGGCAACGAUGCGUAGCCGACCUGAGAGGGUGAUCGGCCACAUUGGGACUGAGACACGGCCCAAACUCCUACGGGAGGCAGCAGUAGGGAAUCUUCCGCAAUGGACGAAAGUCUGACGGAGCAACGCCGCGUGAGUGAAGAAGGCCUUCGGGUCGUAAAACUCUGUUGCCGGGGAAGAACAAGUGCCGUUCGAAUAGGGCGGCGCCUUGACGGUACCCGGCCAGAAAGCCACGGCUAACUAC